UACGUAGGGCGCAAGCGUUGUCCGGAAUUAUUGGGCGUAAAGAGCUCGUAGGCGGUUUGUUGCGUCCGUCGUGAAAUCCCUCGGCUUAACCGGGGAACUGCAUCUGAUACUGGAUGGCUUGAGUUCGGGAGAGGGAUGCGGAAUUCCAGGUGUAGCGGUGAAAUGCGUAGAUAUCUGGAGGAACACCGGUGGCGAAGGCGGCAUCCUGGACCGACACUGACGCUGAGGAGCGAAAGCCAGGGGAGCGAACGGG
rnacentral:rRNA from 1 species